rnacentral:rRNA from 1 species
AGAGUUUGAUCAUGGCUCAGAUUGAACGCUGGCGGCAUGCCUUACACAUGCAAGUCGAACGGCAGCACGGGAGCUUGCUCCUGGUGGCGAGUGGCGAACGGGUGAGUAAUAUAUCGGAACGUACCCUAGAGUGGGGGAUAACGCAGCGAAAGUUGCGCUAAUACCGCAUACGAUCUACGGAUGAAAGUGGGGGAUCGCAAGACCUCAUGCUCAUGGAGCGGCCGAUAUCUGAUUAGCUAGUUGGUAGGGUAAAAGCCUACCAAGGCUUCGAUCAGUAGCUGGUCUGAGAGGACGACCAGCCACACUGGAACUGAGACACGGUCCAGACUCCUACGGGAGGCAGCAGUGGGGAAUUUUGGACAAUGGGCGCAAGCCUGAUCCAGCAAUGCCGCGUGAGUGAAGAAGGCCUUCGGGUUGUAAAGCUCUUUUGUCAGGGAAGAAACGGUGGACUCUAAUACAGAUCACUAAUGACGGUACCUGAAGAAUAAGCACCGGCUAACUACGUGCCAGCAGCCGCGGUAAUACGUAGGGUGCAAGCGUUAAUCGGAAUUACUGGGCGUAAAGCGUGCGCAGGCGGUUUGGUAAGACAGAUGUGAAAUCCCCGGGCUCAACCUGGGAAUUGCAUUUGUGACUGCCCGGCUAGAGUGUGUCAGAGGGGGGUAGAAUUCCACGUGUAGCAGUGAAAUGCGUAGAGAUGUGGAGGAAUACCGAUGGCGAAGGCAGCCCCCUGGGAUAACACUGACGCUCAUGCACGAAAGCGUGGGGAGCAAACAGGAUUAGAUACCCUAGUAGUCC